rfam:Ciona savignyi cont_6441, whole genome shotgun sequence.
CAAACGGCCCUUUUUAGGGCCACCAAAUUAUUUUAAAGAGUUUUUG